GUCCACUCAACCCAGCCAGAACCAGACAUCUAAUUUUUACAAAUGUUUAUGUAAGUAGUCACUUCCAGUAUGUUCUAGCUAAUUGUAAGUUAUUUGGUCAUGCGCAUUCAUUCCAUCAUUGUAUCUUCAGAAGUGGCUCUCGAGGGAAUGCAGGGGGCUCGGAUCACUCUGAUAAUGUCUGUGGUUACGUUUGACUGAUUUGCCUCUUAGCUGCACCAUGUCUCCAUGGAAUUCCAUUUGAGAGAGAUUUAAAAAUUAAACAUCAUGAAUAUUCAACAAAGCUGCCUGAAAGUUCAGCUCCAAGUGACUUAAUCACCGUCUUUGCAAGUUUUCCUUGAAGAAGCCCUUGUUGGACCCAGGGAAGCAUUUUUAUUCUAGAUUGAAAAAAAAAUUAAAAGUUAAAUGUGAAUAUGGUGUUGAACAAUUCUAUGAAAUGUUGAAUUUUAAUGUCCCUGGAAAAACGUUUCACCCUGGCAGGGCUUUUGCUUUUUGAAGACAAGGUUGUUUCUUAAUGUCAUCUCUGCUGGUGGACACACUGCAUUAGUUUCCAGGGAACAUAGGGCCAAUUCAGAACAGAUAUGCAUUAAGUCCAUUUUAGUCUUCUUUGCUCUGAUUCAGAAGAGAGAAUCGUAAGUCACAAAAAGUCCCUUUCACAUCCUAAUAGCUGGAAUAGAACGAACAAAGGUGUUCAGAAAGAUUACCCCAAAGUUGAAAAAAAGAGUACCAUGAGCCCCUUGGAAUUAUUAUCCACUAUUCGACCUCAAGCCUCCUGAACAAACAAUGUAGUAGUCUUAAAGGCAAAUGAGAAAAUUAUUUAGUUACUGAAGGUCUGCUCACUUGCCAAACAAGCAAGAGAAUCAAAACUGAGGUCAAUAGUAAGGGGCUGUGAGUUGGCGAUGUCAUUAGCCAGAGUCCCUUUGCCUAAGCUCCUGGUAAUUCAAAGACUAGGCCAUACUGGAUCAAGUCCAAAGCCAGGAGGUUUUGUACCAAUAUCUUCCCUGUGGUGGACAUUGCGGCUUUCCACCUAUAAUCAAAGAACAAUAUAUCCAUUCACCGGAGUGUAAUUAAUUAGAGAUGUCACUGCUGAAGAACCUAUACUAACAAUAGCACAGUACAGGUGUUCUUCAUUUUAUAGUUGAUAAAUACUUUUUCAUAAUCUUAGGACCUUGACCUAGGAGGGGAGACACUAUUACCCGAGUUUUGCACAUAAGUAUAUACAUGCCCAGAGAGGUCAAAUAACUUGUCCCCAAAGUUCAAGUCUUUGGUGAGAUGUUGUGCAAGGCUGUAUACUUUAACACACUUAGAGUUCAGUCACAGUUCUGGUACUUACUAAAUAAUCUCAGAAAGGUCACUUAACUUAUCUGAGCCUCAGUUUCUUCAUUUUUUAGGGGGGGGUGAGGGUACUGGGGAUUCAACUCAGGGGCACCCGACCACUAAGCCACAUCCCCAGCCCUAUUUUGUAUUUUAUUUAGAGACAGGGUCUCCCUGAGUUGCUUAGGGCCUUGCUAAGUUGCUGAGGCUGGCUUUGAACUUGCGAUCCUCCUGCCUCAGCCUCCCAUGCCACUGGGAUCACAAGUGUGCACCCCUGCACCUGGCUUCAGUUUCUUCAUCUUUGCAGAGGAGAAAACACUAAUGAGCAUUAAAAGACAUCAUUCAUUUAAAGCAAUUUAUACCUCGGCUGGCUCACAAGGAAACUUCCGUAUAUAGAAAAUGAGAUGAUAACAUAAAAAUCAAUUUCAAAAGAUUCUCCAACACAUUCAAGGGGAUGUAAUGGAACAAUAGAAAGUUCGGUUCCAGCUCCAAUCUCUGCAAAGGUAAAUUACAUUAAGAACUCAAGCGAGAAGGAUGAUGAGUUACAGGCAUAGUAUGGUAUAUGAUAUUACAAGUAAUAUAUGAGUCAUCGUGUUUACUGUGAUUAAUAAGGCGGAAAGGUGGACACACAUCAGAAAACUUCUGAACAACAGUAAACCUACUGCUAGCUAGAUCCGUUCAGUUGAAGGAAAACCAGUGGACAAUCUGGUUUAUGUAAGUGUCAGGGUUUGGCUGUGAGGUGUUUCCCAGAAGCUCCUGGGUUAAUGCGGGAAUAUCCAGAGGUGAAAUGACUGGAUUGUGAGAGCUGUCACCUGAUCAGUCCAUCCUAGGUGAAUGGACCAGCUGGGUGGUAAAGGCAGGCAGGUGGGGCGUGGCUGGGGGAGAUGGGUCACUGGGGUCCUGCCCUGGAAGGGUGUGUCUCCCUUGUGGCCCUUUCCCCCCCCCCUCCCUUUCUCUGGUUCCUGGCUGCCAUAAGCCGGGCAGUUUCCUCUACCUCACCCUUCUGCAGUGAUGUCGGGCCUUGUCUUGGGCCCAAAGCAAUGGAGCAGGCCAUCUGUAGACUGAGACUUCCGAAAAGCACCGCGUACCUGUCAGACAUUUUGCCAUGACAAUCAAAAACAACUAAUUCUGUGUGUUUUAUGUGUUUCCAUAAGCACCCCCCACCAACACCCCCCCCCCCUUUUUUUUAAGCAACCAGGAGAGUGAAAUUUGAAGACUGAGAGCAAUGUGGGUUUUCUUUUUAAACUUUCCUUUUCUGGAAUCUCUAGUGAUUUACAGCAAAGUUUACUUGACCUUCCAGUAAAGGCUUCAGCUUAUUUGAGGGAAUGUGAAAGAGGAAGAUUCAGAAAUCAGAGUCACAGAGGCUGCCAGGAUGGGCAAACGGAUUCCAAACUCAGAAUCCUUGUGCCGUCAGCUCCCUUCUGAGACAGGAUCCUGGCGAAUCCAGGGCAGAACACUCAGCUCUUGGCAAGCAAGUUUCGGUAUAGGGCAAGUCAAACUCAACUGUUGGGAUGGUGACCCGGAGGAGUCACUGAAAACAGCCACUGACAGCUCCAUCCCCAGAGCCCUGAGAAGUCAUUAGGAGUUAGCAACCAGAAGCUUCUCAUUUAACAAAGGCAGAAAUGCUCUGGUACAGCUGGAGACCCUGAAGCAGGCAAUCCUCCCAAGGCACAAUUAGUGUAUCUGUCACGUUCUGAGUGUGGUACAUCAGGGUCCUACACAGGGUCUCAAUUACUCAUUUUUAAACCAUCGGCAUAUCAUAAAUAGUUCUUCCAAAACAGAUCCACAAAAAUCCCUCUUGCGCUGGUGCAGUGGUGCACACCUGUAAUCCCAGUGGCUUGAGAGGCUGGGGCAGGAGGAUCUAGAGUUCAAAGCCAGCCUCAGCAAAAGCAAGGCCCUAAGCAACUCAGUGAGACCCUGUCUCUAAAUAAAAUACAAAAUAGGGCUGGGGGCAUGGUUCAGUGGUUGAGUGCUCCUAAGUUCAAUCCCUGAUACCACCCCCCCCAAAAAAAAAUCCCUCUUGUAUUAUUUUGUCAUAAGGACAACAUAUUUCAUAUAUAUAAUAAAAUAUAUAUUAUAUAUAAUAAAACAUAUUAUAUAAUAAAAGUAUAUUUUUACAUAAUAAAAUAUAUAUUAUUUAAAUAUAUCAUAUACAUUAUAAAAUAUAUAUUAUAAUAUCACACAAUAUAUUACAUAAUAUAUAUUUUAUAAUAUAUAAAUUUUAAUAUUUAUAUGUACACAUUUAAAAUAUGUAGAAAUAUUUGCAUAUUUAUGUAUAUAUAUGUGAAUACUUCAUAUAUAAUAUUCAUAUAUAUGAAUAUUUCUCCCAUUCUGUAGGGUCUCUCUUUGUACUCUUGUUUGUUUUUUUUUGUUUAUAAUAUAUAUAUAUUUCAUAAAUACCGGUUUUAUAUAAUAUUUAUUUGAUGAAAUAUAUUAUAUAUUACCCAAUGUUUAUCUUGUAUAAAAUAUAUAUCGUAAACAUAGAAAUAUAUUUAAGGUUAAGUGAACCCACUUCCGUGGAGAUCUUUCUGGGAACUCCAUCCAUACGCACUUAGGAUCUAAUGACCUAUUUACCCGGGAAUCCUCUUACCAGAAGCCCUUCCCAACCAUUAAUAAUAUCCAAGUUCAAAACAUUAAGAGCAGUUCGCCCUGGCGAGUCCGAUGGAGAAAGGGGCUGAGAACCACUUUGCAGGCUUUUCCCGUGACAUUUCCUGCGGGCUCCCAGGGAGAGCGCGUCAGCCCCUGCGCGCAGCUGAGUUGGCUCACCCGGCCUGCAGCCCGGGCCUGCGUCCUCAGCCUGAUCUGAGAAUUGGAAGGAAGCCACCAAUGGGCAGCAGUCUGUAAACAGAUCGGUCCCUUCAGCUCCCCACAGCAGAGCAGAAAAUAAAGGCCAAUGAAAGGAAGCAUAAGGGAGAGAAAACUUGGGAACAGGCCAACGGAUUUCUUUGAGCCGUUUCAAAGUGAUACUGGUUGUUCUAAGGAGCUCACAUCAGGGUCAUUUGAUGGUGCAGGACUCUGCUGUCCAAUAGGGUAGUCACUUGUCACAGGCAACUCUUUAAAGUUAAACCCGAAUGAAUAAAAAUCAAAUAAAAUGAGCAAUUUAGUUCCUCAGUCACUCUAGCCACAUAUCCAGGGUUCAAGGCCAUGGCUGUCACAUAGGAGGCCACAGAGAGAGAAUGUUUGCCUCAGUUUGGGGGACAGCUGCUCUGAAACAAAGGAAGAUCAUCCUAAAACUGGCUAUUAAUUAGAACCCAGACUUUGUAGGGUUAGAAGUUAACUUGUAGAAGACUGAUAAUUGCAAAUGAUUUCUGUUCCUUAGUGAUGCAAAUAAUUUUGGUCCAGAAGAAAAGAGAACCCUACAGGUUACAGUUUUAUUGCUCUGAAGGAAAUUAACCAGUUUGGGAUCCAAAUUUGUCUUUUUUUUUUUGUUUGUUUAUUUAUUUUUUUGUACCAGGGAUUGAACCCAGGGGUGCUUAACCACAGAGCCCCAUCCCCAGCCCUUUUUAUAUUAUAUUUAGAGACAGGGUCUGGCUAGGUUGCUUAGGGCCUGGCCAACUUGCUGAGGCUGGCUUUGAUUCUCCUGCCUUAGCCUCCUUCUUGAGCCGCUGGGUAAAUUUGCCAUUUUGUUCCAGCUUUUUAACUGACUCCAAUCUAUAUCAGUCUUUGUAGAUUCUCUGAGCCAGCUUUGUCCCCUUGCUGUGUCCCCUGUUAGUGAGUUAAAGCCAUACUUGACAGGUACUCGCUAUAUAUUUGGGAGAAUUAUGUUUCUGACUUUUUAGAAAUUAUUUGUUGACAAAGGGAUUAAACAGAUGCACCCAGUAGGAAUCUGAUUUAAGUAGGGUCUAAAUUAAAUAUUGGGCACGUUGUUCUCCUGGCAACAUUCUUAGUUUUUCCAACAACAAAGCAAAGGUGGCAUAAAAAUUAAGAGUUCAAAUUUUCAAUACCUGGGUCAAGGUCCAUGAAGCUACUGUGAGCUAUAAAAAGUGAUGGAGGAAGAACUGUGUCUAUGACAAGGAAGAAUCUGGAAAAUAUUAUGGUGGGUCAAAGAAGCCAGUUAUAAAUGGCUACCUGCAUCCUGUAGGACUCCAUUCACACGAAAUGCUAGAGUAGGCAAAUCCACAGAGAGAGGACAGUUAGUGGUACCCGGAUGGGGAGGGGAGGGGAGGGAACCGGAGUGACUGCUCAUGGCCACAACAUUCUGGAAUCUGACAGUGGUGGUGGUCACACACUCUGAAUACCUUAAAAACUGCUGAAUUUGUAUCUCAGAGGGUAAAUGUUAUGGCAUGGGAACUAUAUAUUAAUAAAAUAAAAUCAUACAUUCGCUCCGAUAUUCACAUAUCAGUGUCCAGUGGUGAUUGAUAAGGUUGUCUUUGCCACUGGAUGCAAUAGGAGUUCAUUGUAAACUCACAAUGAGUACUGAAUGCAGAAGAGUUUUUGCUAAAAUAUCCCCUCGUCCAUUUUACCCAGUGUCCUUAAAAGAUUCUUUAAUAUUAUUUUUAUUUACUAUUAAAUAUUAUUUAAUAUUUAUUAAAAUUAGUUAUUUAUUAAAUAUUAAAAAUAUUCACUAAAUGCUAUUUAUUUAAUAAAUAUUAAUUAAAAUAUUGCUUUCAAAAAUUAAUAAAAAUAACAUUUAAGAUGAACACUUAAAGGAUUCCUUCCUUUGGGCCUAGGUAGGCUUUGGUCAUGUUAUUUUAAGAUAUUGGCUCCACCUCCAGUCCUGAGAUUCUCCAAGGGCAGCGCUGAGCAUGGGUCAUGGACCAUUCAGUCAACGCCAACUCCUUGGCUUUGAUUUCUGAUUCAUCUCGGGGAUCAUCAUAAGGAGGCCACCUCUGGGUAUUCCUCAGACUUAUUGCGGAAAAGCCACUUGAGCCAUUUUUCAGGAUCCAGUCAGCACACAGGAAGGACGCUUUGCCAGCCCCAAAGCCGGUUGGGUUGAUGAUUGUCAGUGAAGGGGGUGUGGCUGUAGUUGAGGGAACAUACAAGAGGUAAGGAAGUACCCAGCGAGCAGCGAACCCACACAGCCAUGAUCAUGGGCCAAAGAUACAGCGGAGGGACUUCCCUAUAGGAGACUUGAAUUUGAGGGAGGAGGGCAGAAAUACUGCAGCUUCUCUCCUUCCUUCCUCUGACUUUCUAGUCAAUCUCUCCCUCUAGGAAACCCAACUUGAAGCAAGCUGGCCAAGGAGCCCCAGGGACGCAGUCUCCAGGGGUCAGCCUCCUCAGGGACCAGGUUUGGAGACAAAUGUAUGGUUACUACAAGGUGCCUACUUGGUGCUGAUGCUUGAAACUCUCUCUAGAGCCAAGUGUGGUGGUGCAUACAUUUCUUCCCAGCAACUCAGGAGGCUGAGGUAGGAGGAUCACAAGUUCAAAGCCAGCCUCAGCAAUUUACCAAGGUCCUAAGUUGCUUAGCGAGACCCUGUCUCUAAAGAAAACAUAAAAAGGGCUGGGGAUGUUGCUCAGUGGUUAACUUCCUCUGGGUUCAAUCCUUAGUACCAAAAAGAAAGGAAGAAAGAAAUUCUCUCUGGAGGCCGCUCACAGCCCAGCCCCUUUCCUUCCUUCUGGCAACUUCUGUCGCUUCAUUAGCAAAUUCUGCUAUUAGAACAACAACCUAAGCAACUCAGAGGGUAUGCAAAGGCAACUUGUGCUACUUAAUUUCAAAGCUGCAUCUCUUUGAACAGCGUUAAAAUCUGUUUCUCAUAGAAGGCAAAUUAGUUAAUUUCAAAUGUGUGCUUUCUGAAUAUCAACAGACCACCCAAAUGUUUACUUAUUUUAAGCUGUCCUCCUAGUGAGUUUUAAGAAAAAAAAAUUUUUUUUUUUUAAUUGCUUUGAGAGACGGGGAGGAGGUUUUCAUGCGUAUAAAUUAUCUGCAUUAAGGGCCAGCUCCAUAUUAAAACAACAUUAAUUAUUCACUUAGCAAGGAUAAAGAAUUACCUAUCAUAGGAAAUCCCUAGUUUGACCUUCUUUUUGACAAACCUACUUGUAAGCCUCAAAUCUUCCCAAAUGUAUCUCUUAUUCAAACUUUCUUCCUGGAAAGGAGAAAAGGCAAUGCACAGAGAGACUGCUUUUAGGUCACUUCAUGUCUGAAAUGUUGGAGUAUGUGAGGUCUCUUGGGCCAGGAGGUCAUUUCUAGAAUUCUAGAACUUUUUUCAGUGCUUAACCACUGAGCCACAUCCCCAGUCCUUUUUAAUAUUUUAUUUAGAGACAGGGUCUCACUGAGUUUCUGAGGGCCUCGCUAAAUUGCUGAGGCUGGCUUUGAACUUGUGAUCCUCCUGCCUCAGCCUCCCAAGCUGCUGGGAUUACAAACUAGAACUGAAGAACAUUUUGUGGGGGAAAAAAUGCCCUUGUCUGUGACUCUUUAAAGUCCAAACUAAAGAAAACAUCAGCAAGGACAGUUCCAGGCUGGGGAUUUGGGGGCCUAACAGAGCAGGACCACCUGAGGAGGUGUCUGAGGCCUGGUGAGUUUCCAAGUCCCCACUCCCUUUCCUCGUUCCCCAGUGACUUUCUGGAAACAGAACAAUCAUUAUCCAAACUCAACUCACAGUGGUCCACCAGGAGGAAAGUCUAUCAUCUGGAACACUUUAGUCUUUCUACAGCAGAGUGCAGGCAUGUCCUGGGGACCCAAGAAGAUGAGUAUCCAAAGAAGACAUUUUCAUUUGCUAGAAAACCCUGUGUCAUUUGAUCAGAAACCAUUUAGGGAUCUGAAUCUUUUUACUGUUUUCAUUUUUUUUUAAGGUACCAGGGAUUGAAUUCAGGGGCACUCGACCACUGAGCCCCAUCCUCAGCCCUAUUUUGUAGGGUCUCACGGAGUUGCUUAGAGCCUCACUUUUGCUGAGGCUGUCUUUAAACACGCGAUCCUCCUGCCUCAGCCUCCCCAGCAGCUGGGAUUACAGGUGUGCACCUGUACCUGGCUAAAUUGCCCUUGCCAACCUCUACAAAAUACUCUGAAUCAUAACAAUGAACUUAAAAUAAUUUUUGUUCUGCUUUUCACAAAUAGGAAAGUUGGAUCUAUAGCUGUUUUGAGACGUCUUGUGUGUGAACUCGAUGUUGCUGAGGGUGCAGGGUUGUUAAAAUUUUGAGAACAACUGCCAUCUACCUGGAGUCACCAAAGGAAAGGAGUGUCUACCAAACAAGGGUGGCACACAACACCAAACUGUAACUAGCUGGCGUGGCCAGUCUUUCCAGGUUAAUUUAUUUGUGUAAUUCAGCUGUUUGAUUUUCUGAGAAUCUCCUUUUCCACUGCAAAUAUCACUAUGAAAGGAUACGAUAUCUGGAAGUUUGGGGAAAAGUGGCAGAAUCCAAGUAGGGUGUCCCAUGGCUUUAAAACAGGAAAGGGAGCUAAAACUGUUUUUACCUACUUUGAAGUUUAUCUGAUGGUUUAUCAGCUCAGGCCAGCAUCUUUCCAAAAGAGAGAGCUUAAAGUUGAGACGAUUCCACUUAUUAGUGUAUGGUCUUUGAAAAAUCUCCAAAACGAUCUAAGUUUUACCACCAGGGAAACGGGGCUGUAAUACUACCUCAGUAUUUUUGUGAGGAUUAUGUGAAAUAAUGUAUAUAAAGUCACCAACAUGGUGCUUGGAACAUAGUAGGUGUUCAGUUAAAGGAACAUGGUGAUAAAGAUGAUUCUGUCUGCUCACAGCACAUCGCUAACCUGGGAAAAGCACUGAACUGUGUACAGAGCAGGGGAAACAGGGAGGAAGCAGAUGGCUGGGACAUUUCAAUGGCAGCUGGCUCUGUAUGUCACUACUUUCGUCCCAAGCUGGGAAUAGAGAGGCUUAAUAGAAGAAACUGCUUUGCUUUCUGUAGAGCUGAUGGGAUUCAGAGCCGAGAGGGAGGCCAGGGGAACCAUAAAUAGAGGAGAUGUCUAGUCCCCAGGUCUGUCCCUGGGAGCCUGUUUACUGAGCUCCAAGGAAACGGGUUUUAUUUGGCAAAUUAGGAUUUUAAAGUUCCUUGUAUCUGAAUGCUAAGCUUUCCUCCCUCCGACUGCUUUGUAAACUCGAAUACCUUGGCCUUGCAGAUAGAGAGCAGAGGCUGUGGCUUCUGGUCUGUGGGACGGUGAACUCGUCUGAUGUGAGAGAGGGAACGGUGGUGGGUGGUAGACGGCCACCGCACACUGGCUGUCCUCCCCUUGAAUUGGAUCGACAGCCGUGGAGCCACUGAGGGAGGAGCUGGGUCCCAGCUCAGAGGAGCUCUGAACAGAUGUGAGUUGGUCUCACUCUCUGUGGCAUCACGAGGUGAUAGGAUGGCCUCGAACUUGUGAUCCUCCUGAGCCGCAGGGAUUACAGGCGUGCACCACUGCAUGGGCUCAUGAUGUCAUUCUUCAGUGGUACCAUUCAUUUCAGAGGGGCAAGUGCUUGUAUACCCACAAAGAACCGGCUCAAUGGCUUGGUUUUCUGUCGUAUGGUUAGCAUCUUCAGAAAGAAAAUUCAUUUCGUUAAAUAAGUAUUGCAUGUUCACAAGAGGUGUGUAUGCAGUCAGUCACCCAAGGAGGACUAAGGACAGAGGGGGACCAGUGUGGAGCAGAGCUGCCAUGCUCAACACACUGCCACAGGGCCGGGAGCUUUCUCCAUUUUCUGCCAUUUACAUUUAGUUACAUUGUAGCUGCAGGCACCAUGAUCUCGCAAGCUCAAGGCAGUACUCUGUCAUCUGGGAUGUAACACCACACUUUGGGACUGCCAUGUCUCAGAGAGUGUCUGAAAAAGGGUCCCGAGGCCUCAGGUGCUAGAACGAAGUUGGAGCACAAGCCACCUCAUGUCCAUUCACCUGGGAAUGUCAUUUCAAAACCUACCUACAGACUCUUCUCCACUCCCAUCCAAACGCAGACGUCCUGGAUGACUGCUCUGAUCCUUAGAUUUUCCCAGACAUGUUAGAAAUCCCUUCGGGAUUAUCUAGUAUUGGGGUGUCCAUGCAUCUCCAGGGAGAGGCACAUCCCUAUCUCCUGGGAAUGGAAAUUCCCAUAAACACUCUGUAUACAGAGACCAGCAACUUUCUGGCCAACAACUCCCAUUCGGUUAAUCGAUUACUAUUGACGUCAGUGACACCCUCCAUCCUUCCCCCCAUUCGUGGUAAAGAAAAUGUAAAACCAAGUGAAUGUAAAGUUCUGCGUAGAAGGUUGAAGGCUGAAGGAACCCUGUAUUGUUCCUAUUAUCCCAGCAUCAUUACUAAUAGCAUCUCUGUCACCCCCAAAUUGUUGAAAUUUCAGUGAUAAAAUAUGUGAUGGCUAUCUUUAUGUAAAGAUGCUGCUGCUAUAACAAAGACCCCACCCCUGCCCUGCAAAGACAUGGGUUUAAAGAAUAUGGAGAUUCCUUCCUUUCUUAUGAAACAGUCCUGAGGUUAACCUUGUUUGAGGUUGCUCAAGUCUUCCCCACAGGAUCGUUGUUAUGGUUGGGAUGUGAGGUGUCCCCCAAAGGCUCACGUGUGAGACAGUGCAAGAAGGUCCAGAGGAGACAAGACUGGAUUGUGAGAGCCUCAACCCAACCAGUGAAUGACUCCCUGAUGGGAUUAACUGUGUGGUGGCUGGAGGCAGGUGGGUGUGGCUGGAGGAGGGAGCAUUGGGGGCGUGGCUUUGGGGUCUCUAUUUGUCUCUGGAGAGUGGAGUCUCUCUCUGCUUCCUGAUCACCAUGUGAGCUGCUUCCCUCCACCACACUCUUCCUCCAUGAUGUCCUGCCUCCCCUCCAGCCCUGAGGAAUGGAGCCUGCUGUCUGUAGACUGCGACCUCUGAAACCCUGAGCCCCCAGAUAAACUUCUCCUCCUCUACAGUUGUUCUGGUUGGGACUUUUAGUCACAGCAGUGAAAAAGCCGACCAAAACAGUCUUCCAGGAACCAAUGUUCUUUGCACAGUGUGGUCCUUCCCUGUCUUAGGAGGCUGGGUUUAUUCACACGUUUGAGCCUGGGUUAUAGUUUGGGAAGAGGAAGAGGAGGUCCGAAGGAGAGCAUGCCCAGAGACUGAAGGCCCAGCACCUCCUGCGGCCCCCAUUUCUAUUGGCACGAGUGUGAGUGACAGAGUCAUGCCUAGAGUUUUUCUCUAAAGUUCUUCUCAAAGCAAAGACCAGGGUGGAAGCUUUUGUGAUGUACUAGUAGGUAGCACAAGGCCAAGAAGGGGAAGUGGGUGCAAACAGAAUGUGGGAGGGAAGAAGCUAGAGUAGGUACGAGGGUGCCUUACUGAGCUGGGCAGCUCACGGCCUGGGGCCUGACUAUUGGUUCUUGUGCCAUCUUCUGACGGGUCAUGCACGCUGCUGGACGAGAAUUUCUAUUUCCUACUGGUGAAAGGUUCACAGUCACUAGAUCCCUUGAUAUUUCAAGUUGUGCAUCUUUUCGUCCUUGCUUUCUUCCUCUGCCCAUCCAACAGAGUUCUAUACUGUCCAGUUCUGUGAGUUGGGAUCAGUGCAUGCAAUUGUGUAGACACCACCACAGUCAAGUAAGGAGAGGGUCCAUCAUUGCUCGGUUGUAAUCAGCCUGCCCUUCAACUCAGCCUGUGGCAGCCAUUGGUUACCCCUGUUUUAUCUUGUACAGAAUGUUAUAUACAUGAAAUCAUAUUAUACAUAGCCAUUUAAUUCUGACUUCUUUCCCUUAACACAUAUGAUGUUUCCCAUGUUGUUCUAUGUAUUUACUGAAACUUUUUAAAUUCUUUUUUUGGGGGGGUACCAGGGAUUGAACUCAGGGGCACUCAACCACUGAGCCAUAUCCCCAGUCCUAUUUUGUACUUUAUUUAGAGACAGGGUCUCACUCAGUUGCUUAGCGCCUCACUAAGUUGCUGAGUCUGGCUUUGAACCUGCAAUCCUCCUGCCUCAGCCUCCCGAGCCACUGGGAUUGCCUUGCUGCAAAUACAGCUGGAUACAGUACCCACGGAAGAGAAAACAGAGUCAAGCCCAGCAGAACAACAGUCCUGGGUCUUUGCCUGGCCAAACCCUCACUGCGCAUGCGUCCUGAAACGGCACAGCCUCUUCUUGCCAUCAACUGGGAGCGCGGGUGGAGUCAGGAAGGAUCUGAGAACUGUGUCCCAGUUUCCAAAUGGCAGCUGACCUUGAUUGUUGCAGGCCUUCACCCUUCACCUGCAUGCUCUGCUGCUGGCACUCAGAAGGAUUCCAAAGGGAAACAGUGAGAUUCCUGUGGCUGCUCCUGCUGACUCAGCAGGCAGAAGCCCAGCCAGCUCCAGGGCUGCGGAGGCCCCAGCCUCCUGGGGGCCAGAUGAGGGGCGGGCGGGCAGCCUUGUUUACCCUGCAUCUCAGACCAAACAGCUGGGGGAACUGUAACCACUUGAGUUUGCCCCACUGCCUUGGAAAGGAAUUGGAGCGCACCACGCAAACAGGAAGCUUCUUUUUCUCCUUCUUUGUGACCCUCCUUCUCUCUUUCUGCUCUUCAUUCUCCUCCCCUCCUCCCCUUCUUUAUUAUCCCCUCCUCUUUUCUCUAGUUCUCCCUCUUUCCUUCCUCCCCCCCCCCCCAACUUUUAUAACAAAGUACUUUGGGAGAAAGUUUAAAAAAAAACAAAUCCUUUAUUUUUUAAAGCCAGGAGACUUUUUUUUUCCCCUCUCCCCAAAGAUUUAUUUGCAGCUGAACUAGUGAAAUAACUGGGCCAAAUGCUUCUUUCUUAUUCAGGCAAAAUGUCCAUGGAAAGUUCUGAAAGGGAUGAACCUCAUGGUGACCUGAGGGACUAUAUUUUUGGAAAGAGAAGAUGGCCUUCCCUGACUCCCCGGAUCCAGCCCCUGCCGUGGAGAGGCCUCUACUCCUCCAAGCAAAAGAAAAGAAGGAACUGGACACGGAGGGCCAAACUCCCCAGCGGUCAGCCUGACGAGCAUUGGACCCAGGACUUGCACCCCAAGUCCUCCUGCCAAUCCCUGUUCAUGUAUUCGGAAGGUGUAGUUUAAAGUACCCAUUCCAGCUCUUCUGUUUCAAUGGUAGGUGUCUUCAAGAACAGCUGAGGCAGGAGGAUGGCAAGUUCAAAGCCAGCCUCAGCAACUUAGCAAGGCCCUGAGCAACUCAGGGAGACCCUGUCUCUAAAUCAAAUAUUUAAGAAAGGGCGAGGGAUGUGGCUCAAUGGUUAAGCACCCCUGGGCUCAAUUCCUGGUUCAAAAAAAAAAAAAAAGUUCACCUUUCUAAGCCUCAGUUUCUCCAUCUUUAUAAGUGACAAUAACAAUGGCAUCCAUCUGACAAAGUUGUGUAUGCUGCAGGCACAGCACAGAGCCUGGCUCAGUUUGCAGUCAUUGGUAGUAAUUAUUAAUAAUUCAGUUAGCUAUGACUGCAACCAUCAAAUUAUCAUCUAGUCCACGCUCUCCACAAAGAGAAGCAUAUCAUGUUUAUCAAAUGCUGGAAUUGAAGGGCAUGAUGUCUGGAAUAUUUUAUUGAUCCAUCAAAAACAAAACUAUUGAAAGAGGAAAUAGAUCAGCAUGACUUGAACCUCUGCGGGCUCAUAGCCGUCUCUGGCUGAGCUCUUUUUCCUAAAUGUUCAUAAAAUGUGUGUGUAAUAACCCAUUGCCUUGGAGUUUUUAGAAUCCACAUUUUUCUCAUAUUUGAACACUGGAAUAACAUAUUCGUGUCUCUGAUUCGCUGGCCUCACUCCCAGUCUCCGAUUUCUCUGAGAUUACUGACAGUGGUUUUGUAAUCACAUCUGCAAGUUCUUUCUCUAUUCUAGAAUUUAAUUCAACUUGAACUCAUUAAGUAUCUAGUUCCCUUUACAUUAUCGCUUGUGAGAUCUCAUGCUUCAGUUCCUUAUCUAAAACUAAGUUUAUUUCAUAUAUAUUUGAUAUAUACCAUAUAUAAAAUAUAUUUAUAUAUAUUAACAUAUAUAUGUAUAUAUGUAGCUAUAUAUAUAUAUAUAUAUAUAUAUAUAUAUAUAUAUAUAUGUAGAUGUAAGGCUGAAGCAGGAGAAUUGCGAGUUCAAAGCCAG
rnacentral:lncRNA from 1 species